rnacentral:sRNA from 1 species
CCGCGCCUGCGCCAAUUCCGCCCUGCCCCGCCCCCAUCUACCGACCGGAUGUUAGCAGAUUUCCCAUAGUGCCUCGCUAGUGGCGGGCAUGAUAACACACGCCGUAGGGUCGCAAGCGGUUCCAGUUGUGAUUGCUGGAGUUGUGUAUUGCCAGGAGGCUCUCCGAGAUUGGGGUCGGGUCACUGCCUCAUCCGCCGGAGCGAUGGCGUUUCUCCGAAGCAUGUGGGGCGUGCUGAGUGCCCUGGGAAGGUCUGGAGCAGAGCUGUGCACCGGCUGUGGAAGUCGACUGCGCUCCCCCUUCAGUUUUGUGUAUUUACCGAGGUGGUUUUCAUCUGUCUUGGCAAGUUGUCCAAAGAAACCUAUAAGUUCUUACCUUCGAUUUUCUAAAGAACAACUACCCAUAUUUAAAGCUCAGAACCCAGCUCCUCCUUUUUCUGGCUCAGGGAAUUGUUAAUAAAAUUGCAGCUUCUGUGGAAGCAUCCAUAAACUAUGCAAAAACUACGGAACUAAUUAGAAGAAUUGCCCAGCGUUGGAGGGAACUUCCUGAUUCAAAGAAAAAAAUAUAUCAAGAUGCUUAUAGGGCAGAGUGGCAGGUAUAUAAAGAAGAGAUAAGCAGAUUUAAAGAACAGCUAACUCCAAGUCAGAUUAUGUCUUUGGAAAAAGAAAUCACGGACAAACAUUUAAAAAGGAAAGCUAUGGCAAAAAAAAAAGAGUUAACACUGCUUGGAAAACCAAAAAGACCUCGUUCAGCUUAUAACGUUUAUGUAGCUGAAAGAUUCCAAGAAGUUCAGGGUGAUUCACCACAGGAAAAGCUGAAGACUCUAAAGGAAAACUGGAAAAAUCUGUCUGACUCUGAAAAGGAAUUAUAUAUUCAGUAUGCUAAAGAGGAUGAAACUCGUUAUCAUAAUGAAAUGAAGUCUUGGGAAGAACAAAUGAUUGAAGUUGGACGAAAGGAUCUUCUACGUCGCACAAUGAAGCAACGACGAAAAUAUGGUGCUGAGGAGUGUUAAAAGUAGAAGAUUGAGAUGUGUUCACAAUGGAUAGGCACAGGAAACCAGUUAGGUCUCAAUACCUGAAGCUAUUGUGAAAUUAAGAAAGGAUAAAAUUGGUAAACCUUUUA